UCCAGCGCUCUGGGAGAGUUUAUAGUCCUGACAGUUGAACACUGGAUGACUGACAGCUGUCCUUCAUCACAACGAAGACACAGAAAUCCUCCUCAUCUAAAACAUGACUUUGAUCUGCGUCCUCAUCUGGACUCUCCUCUGCUUCACUCAGGGAUCUGAUGGACAAAAUGUUGUUGUGACUCAAUCAGCAGCCGAAUCAGUGCAGCUCAGUCAGACGGUCACUAUUGACUGUAAGGCCAGUCAGGCACUUUCAACAUCUCACUGUAGCUACAACUCACAGGUCUGCCUGUCCUGGUACCAUCAGAAACCUGGAGAAGCUCCUAAAGCUCUGAUCUACUGGACAUCAGACAGAUUUUCAGGAAUCUCCUCCAGAUUCAGUGGAAGUGGAAAAGGAAAUGGAUUAGACUUCACUCUGACCAUCAGUGGAGUUCAGGCUGAAGAUGCAGGAGUUUAUUACUGUAUGAGUUAUCACUCCAUCAACAGUCAGUGGAUGUUCACACAGUGAAAAAUCACCGUACAAAAACCUCCCUCAGUCUUACAACAGAAACUGAACUUUGUUCUGCACCUGGAAUCUGCUGCUGAAACUGAUACAGUUCAUUAAACACAAACACACUGAACACACAUAUUAAUAA